CUCACGAUGAGUGUAGCUGUUUUCUCUUCUGAGGCUGACAGGAAGGCAGUAGCAGCAUGUUUUCAAGAGAUGCCACCAGUACUUGAAUUCUAUGAGUUGGCCAGCAACAAAGAAAGUGGCUUGAAAGAGCAAGAAGUGAGUAGUGACACCCAAGGUGGGCGAGUGGAAUAUAAAAGCAUUCUCCAGGGUUCUUAGUAAAAUUAAGGAAGCGGAAUGUGAAAGGAGGCAUGCAUGACUGCAGUCAUGCAGGAUGGAGAGCUGAAUGAUUUUUAUUUGGAAAUUAAAGAAAAGGCCAAUUCAAAAGUCCUGAAAACUUGAGGACCCUCAGGUGUCCUUGCCUGAUUUUGGUAUCAGGGAGAUACUGGUUUCAUAGAAUGAGUUAGGUGAAAGAGAAAACACAGCUUGGUGAUAACUAUGCAAAGAUAUGAGGCAGAAGGAUAUAAAAAAAACUUGGAGAAUAUGCCAGUAUCCAGAAUUCGCUUAAUUUUUAUUCCAGCACAAAAAACAGAAGACUGGGAAUUUUUGUUGGAGGGUAAUGGGGAAGUGAAAAUUCUGC
rnacentral:lncRNA from 10 species